rnacentral:tRNA from 1 species
GGGAAUAGCUCAGUGGUAGAGCGCUAGCCUUCCAAGCUGGAUGUCGCGGGUUCAAAUCCCGUUUCCC